rnacentral:misc_RNA from 1 species
GAUGAAGAACGCAGCAAAAUGCGAUAAGUAAUGUGAAUUGCAGAAUUCAGUGAAUCAUCGAAUCUUUGAACGCACAUUGCGCCCGCCAGUAUUCUGGCGGGCAUGCCUGUUCGAGCGUCAUUUCAACCCUCAAGCACAGCUUGGUGUUGGGACUCGCGUUAAUUCGCGUUCCCCAAAUUGAUUGGCGGUCACGUCGAGCUUCCAUAGCGUAGUAGUAAAACCCUCGUUACUGGUAAUCGUCGCGGCCACGCCGUUAAACCCCAACUUCUGAAUGUUGACCUCGGAUCAUGUAGGAAUACCCGCUGAACUUAAGCAUAUCAAUAAGCGGAGGA